rnacentral:rRNA from 1 species
GGUUAAGCUACAAAGGGCUCACGGUGGAUACCUUGGCACACAGAGGCGAUGAAGGACGUGGUUACCUGCGAUAAGUCUCGGGGAGCUGGAAACACGCUUUGAUCCGGGAAUCUCCGAAUGGGGCAACCCUUAGAACGGCCAACUGAAUAAAUAGGUUGGUUCGAGCCAACCCAGCGAACUGAAACAUCUUAGUAGCUGGAGGAAAGGAAAGUAAAAACGACUCCCUAAGUAGCGGCGAGCGAACGGGGAAUAGCCCAAACCAACGGUUGCGACUGUUGGGGUUGUGGGACAGUAAAAUGGAUUUUGGAGACUAGUAGAAGCGUUUGAAUGGCGCGCCAUAGAGGGUGAAAGCCCCGUAUACGAAAGUUGAAUUAACCUAGCUGUAUCCCGAGUAGCACGGAGCACGUGGAAUUCCGUGUGAAUCUGCGAGGACCACCUCGUAAGGCUAAGUACUACUGUGUGACCGAUAGUGAAGCAGUACCGCGAGGGAAAGGUGAAAAGAACCCCGGGAGGGGAGUGAAAUAGAACAUGAAACCGUGAGCUUACAAGCAAUGGGAGCCCGACUUAUCGGGUGACUGUGUGCCUGUUGAAGAAUGAGCCGGCGACUUAUAGGCACUGGCAGGUUAAGGGGGAAAUCCCGGAGCCAUAGCGAAAGCGAGUCUGAAUAGGGCGAUAGUCAGUGUUUAUAGACCCGAACCCGGGUGAUCUAACCAUGGCCAGGAUGAAGCUUGGGUGAUACCAAGUGGAGGUCCGAACCGACUGAUGUUGAAAAAUCAGCGGAUGAGCUGUGGUUAGGGGUGAAAUGCCAAUCGAACCCGGAGCUAGCUGGUUCUCCCCGAAAUGCAUUUAGGUGCAGCGUUGCGUGUUUCUUACCGGAGGUAGAGCUACUGGAUGGCUAAUGGGCCCUACAAGGUUACUGACGUCAGCCAAACUCCGAAUGCCGGUAAGUGAGAGCGCAGCAGUGAGACUGUGGGGGAUAAGCUUCAUAGUCGAGAGGGAAACAGCCCAGACCACCAACUAAGGCCCCUAAGCGUGUGCUAAGUGGGAAAGGAUGUGGAGUUGCGAAGACAACCAGGAGGUUGGCUUAGAAGCAGCCAUCCUUAAAAGAGUGCGUAAUAGCUCACUGGUCAAGUGAUUCCGCGCCGACAAUGUAGCGGGGCUCAAGUGUUUUACCGAAGCUGCGGAUUCUAUGAAUGGUAGGGGAGCGUUCUAUGUGGGGUGAAGCGUUAGCGUAAGCGGGCGUGGACUGCAUAGAAGUGAGAAUGUCGGCUUGAGUAGCGAAAACAUGGGUGAGAAUCCCAUGCCCCGAAACCCUAAGGGUUCCUUCGGUAGGCUCGUCCACGAAGGGUUAGUCUGGACCUAAGGCGAGGCCGAAAGGCGUAGUCGAUGGAUAACAGGUCAACAUUCCUGUACUAGUUGCAUUUUAGGAAGAGGGACGGAGAAGGCUAGCCAAGCCAGACGUUGGUUACUGGUUCAAGCGUCAAGGUGCUGACGGUCGGAGAAAACGACCUGAGCUGAGUCGUGAGUACGAACUGCUACGGUAGUGAAGUUGGUGAUGUCAUGCUUCCAAGAAAAGCUCUAUACCUGUUAAGAUGCAAGUACCAGUACCCGAAACCGACACAGGUGGGGUGGUAGAGAAUACCGAGGGGCGCGAGAUAACUCUCUCUAAGGAACUCGGCAAAAUGGCCCCGUAACUUCGGGAGAAGGGGUGCCAGCUUAAGCUGGUCGCAGUGAAGAGGCCCAAGCGACUGUUUACUAAAAACACAGGUCCGUGCGAAGUCGCAAGACGAUGUAUACGGACUGACUCCUGCCCGGUGCUGGAAGGUUAAGAGGACCGGUUAGCCUCACGGCGAAGCUGAGAAUUUAAGCCCCAGUAAACGGCGGUGGUAACUAUAACCAUCCUAAGGUAGCGAAAUUCCUUGUCGGGUAAGUUCCGACCUGCACGAAUGGAGUAACGAUUUGGGCGCUGUCUCGGAGAGAGACUCGGCGAAAUAGAAUUGUCUGUGAAGAUGCGGACUACGUGCACCCGGACAGAAAGACCCUAUGAAGCUUUACUGUAGCUUGGUAUUGUGCCCGGGCUCUGAAUGCGCAGGAUAGGUGGGAGGCUUUGAUCCAUUGCUUGUGGGUGAUGGUGAGCCAAUGGUGAGAUACCACUCUUUCAUAGCUAGGGUUCUAACGGUUACCCGUUAUCCGGGGACCGGACAGUGCCUGAUGGGUAGUUUAACUGGGGCGGUUGCCUCCUAAAAAGUAACGGAGGCGCCCAAAGGUUCCCUCAGCCUGGUUGGCAAUCAGGUGUCGAGUGUAAGUGCACAAGGGAGCUUGACUGUGAGAGAGACAUCUCGAGCAGGGACGAAAGUCGGGACUAGUGAUCCGGCGGUACAUUGUGGAAUGGCCGUCGCUCAACGGAUAAAAGGUACCUCGGGGAUAACAGGCUGAUCUUGCCCAAGAGUCCAUAUCGACGGCAUGGUUUGGCACCUCGAUGUCGGCUCGUCGCAUCCUGGGGCUGGAGUAGGUCCCAAGGGUUGGGCUGUUCGCCCAUUAAAGCGGUACGCGAGCUGGGUUUAGAACGUCGUGAGACAGUUCGGUCCCUAUCCGCUGCGCGCGCAGGAAAUUUGAGAAGGGCUGUCCUUAGUACGAGAGGACCGGGACGGACGAACCUCUGGUGUGUCAGUUGUACUGCCAAGUGCACCGCUGAUUAGCUACGUUCGGAUGGGAUAACCGCUGAAAGCAUCUAAGCGGGAAGCCCACCUCAAGAUGAGUGUUCUCAUGGCAUAAGCCAGUAAGGUCACGGGAAGAACACCCGUUUGAUAGGCUCUACGUGGAAGCUUAGUAAUAAGUGAAGCGGAGGAGUACUAAUAGACCGAGGGCUUAACCAA